AACACAUGCAAGUCGAGCGGAAAGGCUCCUUCGGGAGUACUCGAGCGGCGAACGGGUGAGUAACACGUGGGUAAUCAACCCCUGACAUCGGGAUACCCCCGGGAAACCCGGAUCAAUACCGAAUAAGGUGCGGAGUCGCUGGACGCCGUACCAAAGGUAGCUUAGGCCUCCGGUCAGGGACGAGCCCGCGGCCCAUUAGCUUGUUGGUGAGGUAACGGCUCACCAAGGCGACGAUGGGUAGCUGGUCUGAGAGGACGUAUCAGCCACACUGGGACUGAGACACGGCCCAGACUCCUACGGGAGGCAGCAGUGGGGAAUAUUGCGCAAUGGGCGGAAGCCUGACGCAGCAACGCCGCGUGCGGGAAGAAGGCUCUCGGGUCGUAAACCGCUUUCAGCAGGGACGAAGCUUCCGGGGUUAAUAGCCUACGGGGUGACGGUACCUGCAGAAGAAGCCCCGG
rnacentral:rRNA from 1 species